rfam:Hepacivirus C isolate sP161684 polyprotein gene, complete cds
AUUCCGCUCGUCGGCGCCCCUGUAGGGGGCGUCGCAAGAGCCCUAGCUCAUGGCGUUAGGGCCCUUGAGGACGGAGUGAACUAUGCAACAGGGAACCUUCCUGGUUGCUCCUU